GGACGGGAACUACCGCCGAAAGGCGGGCUAAACCCGCGUAUAUGCCACCGGGGCAUCCCGGAGGCAGGAAAGGCUUCGGCCGGACAGGGAUGGGCAUGCGGCGCAUUAGGCAGUAGGCGGGGUAACGGCCCACCUAACCGACGAUGCGUAGGGGUUCUGAGAGGAAGGUCCCCCACACUGGUACUGAGACACGGACCAGACUCCUACGGGAGGCAGCAG
rnacentral:rRNA from 1 species